rfam:Candidatus Burkholderia brachyanthoides strain TZHbot7 BRCHctg299, whole genome shotgun sequence.
CCUGCUGUACGGUCAGCAGAGUUGCCUACUUGGACAGGCGUGGCGGGUGACUGCCGGGUCUGGAGCGC